rnacentral:rRNA from 1 species
AUUGAACGCUGGCGGCAUGCCUUACACAUGCAAGUCGAACGGUAACAGGUCUUCGGAUGCUGACGAGUGGCGAACGGGUGAGUAAUACAUCGGAACGUGCCCGAUCGUGGGGGAUAACGAGGCGAAAGCUUUGCUAAUACCGCAUACGAUCUACGGAGGAAAGCGGGGGAUCUUCGGACCUCGCGCGGCCGGUGCGGCCGAUGGCAGAGUAGGUAGUUGGUGGGAUAAAAGCUUACCAAGCCGACGAUCUGUAGCUGGUCUGAGAGGAUGAUCAGCCACACUGGGACUGAGACACGGCCCAGACUCCUACGGGAGGCAGCAGUGGGGAAUUUUGGACAAUGGGCGAAAGCCUGAUCCAGCCAUGCCGCGUGCAGGAUGAAGGCUUUCGGGUUGUAAACUGCUUUUGUACGGAACGAAAAGCCUCUUUCUAAUAAAGAGGGGUCAUGACGGUACCGUAAGAAUAAGCACCGGCUAACUACGUG